UACGAAGGGGGCUAGCGUUGUUCGGAAUUACUGGGCGUAAAGCGCGCGUAGGCGGUUUCUUAAGUCAGAGGUGAAAGCCCGGAGCUCAACUCCGGAAUAGCCUUUGAGACUGGGAGACUUGAAUCCAGGAGAGGUGAGUGGAAUUCCGAGUGUAGAGGUGAAAUUCGUAGAUAUUCGGAAGAACACCAGUGGCGAAGGCGGCUCACUGGACUGGUAUUGACGCUGAGGUGCGAAAGCGUGGGGAGCAAACAGG
rnacentral:rRNA from 1 species